rnacentral:rRNA from 1 species
UAAGGAAUAUUGGUCAAUGGACGCAAGUCUGAACCAGCCAUGCCGCGUGAAGGAUGAAGGUCCUCUGGAUUGUAAACUUCUUUUAUCUGGGACGAAAACGGGAUUUUUAUCUCAAUUGACGGUACCAGAGGAAUAAGCACCGGCUAACUCCGUGCCAGCAGCCGCGGUAAUACGGAGGGUGCGAGCGUUGUCCGGAUUUACUGGGUUUAAAGGGUGCGUAGGUGGGCUUAUAAGUCAGUGGUGAAAUCUCCGAGCUUAACUUGGAAACUGCCGUUGAUACUAUAGGUCUUGAAUUAUCUGGAGGUAAGCGGAAUAUGUCAUGUAGCGGUGAAAUGCUUAGAUAUGACAUAGAACACCAAUUGCGAAGGCAGCUUACUACAGACAAAUUGACGCUGAGGCACGAAAGGGUGGGGAUCAAACA